rnacentral:rRNA from 1 species
AAUCAACGCUGGCGGCGUGCCUGACACAUGCAAGUCGAACGCGAAAGUGGAGCAAUCCAUGAGUAGAGUGGCAAACGGGUGAGUAACACGUGGGUGACCUGCCUUAGAGUGGGGGAUAACGUCCCGAAAGGGACGCUAAUACCGCAUAACAUGCUGCCUUUUAAGAGGUGGACAUCAAAGCCGGGGACCGCAAGGCCUGGCGCUUAAAGAGGGGCCCGCGCCUGAUUAGCUAGUUGGUGGGGUAAUGGCUCACCAAGGCAACGAUCAGUAUCCGGCCUGAGAGGGCGGACGGACACACUGGGACUGAGACACGGCCCAGACUCCUACGGGAGGCAGCAGUGGGGAAUUGUUCGCAAUGGGCGCAAGCCUGACGACGCAACGCCGCGUGGAGGAUGAAGAUCUUCGGGUUGUAAACUCCUUUCGAUCGAGACGAAUGGCCCUUGGGCUAACAUCCUGAGGGAGUGACGGUACCGAGAGAAGAAGCCCCGGCUAACUCCGUGCCAGCAGCCG